rnacentral:rRNA from 1 species
CCUACGGGAGGCAGCAGUGGGGAAUAUUGGGCAAUGGAGGCAACUCUGACCCAGCAACGCCGCGUGAAUGAUGAAGGUCUUCGGAUUGUAAAGUUCUGUGAUGGGGGAUGAACACAAUGACGGUACCCCAAUAGCAAGCCACGGCUAACUACGUGGCAGCAGCCGCGGUAAUACGUAGGUGGCAAGCGUUAUCCGGAAUGACUGGGCGUAAAGGGUGCGUAGGUGGUUUAGUAAGUUAGCGGUGUAAUUCCGGGGCUCAACCUCGGCGCUACCGCCAAAACUAUUAGACUAGAGUGCAGGAGGGGUAAGUGGAAUUCCUAGUGUAGCGGUGAAAUGCGUAGAUAUUACGAAGAACUCCGAUCGCGAAGGCAGCCUACCGGCGCGCAACUGACGCUCAUGCACGAAAGCGUGGGUAUCGAACAGGAUUAGAUACCCCUGUAGUC